AUACGGAGGAUCCGAGCGUUAUCCGGAUUUAUGGGUUUAAAGGGAGCGUAGGUGGAUUGUUAAGUCAGUUGUGAAAGUUUGCGGCUCAACCGUAAAAUUGCAGUUGAAACUGGCAGUCUUGAGUACAGUAGAGGUGGGCGGAAUUCGUGGUGUAGCGGUGAAAUGCUUAGAUAUCACGAAGAACUCCGAUUGCGAAGGCAGCUCACUAGACUGCAACUGACACUGAUGCUCGAAAGUGUGGGUAUC
rnacentral:rRNA from 1 species